UACAGAGGUCUCAAGCGUUGUUCGGAUUCAUUGGGCGUAAAGGGUGCGUAGGCGGCGAGGUAAGUCGGAUGUGAAAUCCCGGGGCUCAACCCCGGAACUGCAUUCGAUACUGCUUUGCUUGAGUACUGGAGAGGAGACUGGAAUUUACGGUGUAGCAGUGAAAUGCGUAGAUAUCAGGAGGAACACCAGCGGCGAAGGCGGCGCCCUGGGCCGGUACUGACACUGAGGAGCGAAAGCGUGGGUAGCAAACAGG
rnacentral:rRNA from 1 species